CCAAUAAACAACACAAAUCACCGACCCUGUUCAUAUGGCCUCCAUGCUCCUAAGCCGUUUUCAAUGAUUGAGACUUCCGAAUCGACGAUCAGCUCUGUUAGACUUGAUCUGGCGUAUUUGAAGUAUUUAGAAAAUAAAUUUUGUAAUUCUUUGAUAUAAUUUAUCUAUUGAUCGAAAGAGUUCAAAGUCAACAAUUUUAAUGGUUGAUGUGUGCCGUUUAGAUGUUUAUAAACGAUAUAGGAGUAUUCAAAUCAGAUGCAAUUUGGAUAGAAAUUUUUUUAUAUAAUUUACAGCAAGGUCAAUAUCUCUGAUAAAAAAUUUUAGUGCUACAUCAUAAUUUUUGUGAGAUUUUUAUUUUAGCUAUUCAUUUUCAAUUCUUUCGAUCGUUGGGUAAAUAAUAUUAAAAAAUCGUAAAAUUUAUUUUCUAGAUAUUUCAAAUAUACUAAAUCAAGUCUAGCGGAACUGAUCGUCGAUUCAGAAAUUUAAUCAUCGAAAACAACUUAGGAGUACGGAGGCCUUCGUACUCCUAACAGCACACAAGUCCCACUAUAUAUAUACACCCGCACACAGAACGCUCUAGGUUUUCAUAAUAUUUAUAGUAUCGGAACUUCUUUCAAUUUUAGAAUGUUCAAAUUAACAACUCACACCUCUACGAUAUUUGAAGUUCUUAGAAAUAAAAUUUUAUAUUUUUUCGACAUGGUUUACUUUAUGAUCAAACUAUUUCAAAGUUAUCAAUUAUCAAUUGCUACUAUGGUGAGUUUAUUGUCUAACAGUGUAAAAGAAUUUAAAUUUAUUUAAAUUUUGAUAAAAAAUAUUUUAAACUAUUUAGAUCAAUAUCGGUAUCUUUGAUCUUGGAUUCAAAAAUCCUAUCCUCAAAUUUUAAAGAUUAUUCAAUUUUUACCGUUUAUUUUGAUAUAAUUUACUUAUUUAUUCCUAAAAACUUCAUAUAUUCGAAAUCAUAUUUAAAAAUGUGGAUUAUUGAUUUGAAUACCUUAAGAUUGAAAGGGAGAUUAUAGUACCGGAGCUCUCAUACUAUAAAUAGUACAUUAGUUAUAUCCGAUCACUAGAAUAACUUGCAUCAUUA
rnacentral:lncRNA from 1 species